rnacentral:rRNA from 1 species
ACCGAGUGCGGGUCCUUUGGGCCCAACCUCCCAUCCGUGUCUAUUGUACCCUGUUGCUUCGGCGGGCCCGCCGCUUGUCGGCCGCCGGGGGGGCGCCUCUGCCCCCCGGGCCCGUGCCCGCCGGAGACCCCAACACGAACACUGUCUGAAAGCGUGCAGUCUGAGUUGAUUGAAUGCAAUCAGUUAAAACUUUCAACAAUGGAUCUCUUGGUUCCGGCAUCGAUGAAGAACGCAGCGAAAUGCGAUAACUAAUGUGAAUUGCAGAAUUCAGUGAAUCAUCGAGUCUUUGAACGCACAUUGCGCCCCCUGGUAUUCCGGGGGGCAUGCCUGUCCGAGCGUCAUUGCUGCCCUCAAGCCCGGCUUGUGUGUUGGGUCGCCGUCCCCCUCUCCGGGGGGACGGGCCCGAAAGGCAGCGGCGGCACCGCGUCCGAUCCUCGAGCGUAUGGGGCUUUGUCACAUGCUCUGUAGGAUUGGCCGGCGCCUGCCGACGUUUUCCAACCAUUCUUUCCAGGUUGACCUCGGAU